CGCAUGGGACAACACCUGCGUCGAUCGGUUGCUGGUCUGACAGGAUGGCCAGCCCACUGGGACUGACACACGGUCCAAACUCCUACGGGAGGCCCGGUGGGGAAUAUUGGACAAUGGGGGGAACCCUGAUCCAGCAAUGCCGCGUGUGUGAACAAGGCCUGAGGGUUGUAAAGCACUUUCACUGGGGAGGAGGGUUGAUAGGUUAACAGCUAGUUGACUGGACGUUACCCACAGAAAAUCACCGGCUAACUCCGUGCCAGCAACCGCGGUAAUACGGAGGCGCCAGCGUUAAUCGGAAUUACUGGGCGUAAAGGGUGCGUAGGUGGUUUUUUAAGUUAUUUGUUAAAUCCCUGGGCUCGUCCUGGGAAGGACAGAUGAUACUGUUCGACUGUAGUAUUGGAGAAGGUAGUGGAAUUUCCCAUGUAGCGGUGAAAUGCGUAGAGAUCGGAAGGAACACCAGUGGCGAAGGCGGCUACCUGGCCUGAUACUGACACUGAAGCACGAAAGCGUGGGGAGCAAACAGGAUUAGAUACACUGGUAGUCCACGCUGUAAACGAUGUCAACUAGCUGUUGGUCUUAUGAAUGUGAUUAGUGGCGCAGCAAACGCGUAAAUUUGACAUACAUCGUUAUACAG
rnacentral:rRNA from 1 species